GAUGAGCGCUGGCGGCGUGCCUAAUACAUGCAAGUCGAGCGAACGGACGAGAAGCUUGCUUCUCUGAUGUUAGCGGCGGACGGGUGAGUAACACGUGGAUAACCUACCUAUAAGACUGGGAUAACUUCGGGAAACCGUAGCUAAUACCGGAUAAUAUUUUGAACCGCAUGGUUCAAAAGUGAAAGACGGUCUUGCUGUCACUUAUAGAUGGAUCCGCGCUGCAUUAGCUAGUUGGUAAGGUAACGGCUUACCAAGGCAACGAUGCAUAGCCGACCUGAGAGGGUGAUCGGCCACACUGGAACUGAGACACGGUCCAGACUCCUAAGGGAGGCAGCAGUAGGGAAUCUUCCGCAAUGGGCGAAAGCCUGACGGAGCAACGCCGCGUGAGUGAUGAAGGUCUUCGGAUCGUAAAACUCUGUUAUUAGGGAAGAACAUAUGUGUAAGUAACUGUGCACAUCUUGACGGUACCUAAUCAGAAAGCCAAGGCUAACUACGUG
rnacentral:rRNA from 1 species